rnacentral:rRNA from 1 species
ACCUCAUAAAGUGCGUCGUAGUCCGGAUCGGAGUCUGCAACUCGACUCCGUGAAGUCGGAAUCGCUAGUAAUCGUGGAUCAGAAUGCCACGGUGAAUACGUUCCCGGGCCUUGUACACACCGCCCGUCACACCAUGGGAGUGGGUUGCAAAAGAAGUAGGUAGCUUAACCUUCGGGAGGGCGCUUACCACUUUGUGAUUCAUGACUGGGGUGAAGUCGUAACAAGGUAACCGUAGGGGAACCUGCGGUUGGAUCACCUCCUUACCUGAAGAUAC